rnacentral:lncRNA from 1 species
GGAAUUGUUCAAUAGAAAAAGUAAACUGACCAUCAUGGCAGAUUGUGUUCUUUCUCUUUACAAAGAACAAACAGGGAACAAAGAAGAGUUAGUUUUUCUUCCAGAAAAAGCAAGGAAAAGACCUCCAUGAAAGCUAAUUGUUGAUGGCCAUUCUCUGCCAAAAUAGUAGCUUCCUUCUUUUAUGACCUUGAAAAAGAAAAUAUCCUUUUUAAGAUUUGCUGCCAAUUAUUUAAAAAAAAAUUUAAAAAAAGCCCCUUCUCUAGUAUUUCCUAUAAAUAUGAAAAGAGGUGAACAGAUCAAGG